rnacentral:rRNA from 1 species
UACGUAGGGGGCAAGCGUUGUCCGGAUUUAUUGGGCGUAAAGAGCGUGUAGGCGGCCGCACAGGUCCGUUGUGAAAACUGGAGGCUUAACCUUCAGACGUCGAUGGAAACCGUGCGGCUAGAGUCCGGAAGAGGAGAAUGGAAUUCCUGGUGUAGCGGUGAAAUGCGCAGAUAUCAGGAAGAACACCCGCGGCUAAGGCGGUUCUCUAGUACGGUACUGACGCUGAGACGCGAAAGCGUGGGGAGCGAACAGG